ensembl:snoRNA small Cajal body-specific RNA 10
GCUUCAUGAUGAUAUCAAGGCAAAUGUGACCUCACUGGCUGGCUGUUCCCUCAACCUGUUCCCCUAUAAAGGUCUGUAAUCUUGGUGGUCAUCGCAAAGUAAUGUGUGUUCGCUGUAAGGGCAGACCAACAGGAUGUCCCAUUCCUUCUGUCCUCCAUUCCCCCAUCUGGAGGAGGCACCCAUCUCUUUGCAAAGCCUUACAAGGAGUGAGUGAGGGUGUGGGAACAGGGCAAGCUUAGUGUGCCUGGGUUACAGGUUGCUGGGCGCUGCCAGAGUUACAGCCGUUGAGGCAGCAUGAGCACAAGUCUUUGGUAAUCUGAAAGCU